rnacentral:lncRNA from 1 species
AUUCCUUCAGAAGUUGUAAGUAGCCGGCCUGAUACUGUUAGCUCUCUGAGGAUUUCUUCUGAUCGUCAGUUUUCAAAUGAGAGCUUUGACGGAAAGCUGAAGAUAUGGGAAACCUGGGAGCCAGUUCAGUGUGGACUUGCUGAGGACAGCCAAAACAUAAGCAGGAAUGGUCAGUCCUUCGGGCCACUAGCACAAGAAUUUGCCUUUCAGCCAGCCAAACUUUUGGGAUCUCCUGGAGUUGCAAUGGAACCCUUGUUACCGGAUGACCCAACACAGGAUUCCCUUUGAUACGGAAGUCACUCAAGAUAAUGCCUUUGCGAUGGAAGAUGUCAACAAAGGACCAAGGCCUUUGGCAGCACAAAACUGUGGCUGUCCUGGAAGAGGGAAAGAUUGAGCCAGCAAACCUGCUUACAGAUUUACAUACAUUCCUGUGGUGGUCCUUAUUAACAUCUGUACUACUAAGAGCCGUAACCCUCUGGGGCUGAGAAGAGAGCGGAGGUGAGAUGCACGCAGAACCAGACAGAAUGGACUAAAGGGACAGCACAGGCGGGAGAUGCUGGGGCGUAGCAUGACUAGGGCAGCAAAGGGGACCCAUUGUGUCUGGACAUGUCUGGGUGUGUGCUUGCCUGCAGUGAAGAUCUCUGCUUCCUUUCCUGCUGCUGAGAAAUCCCUGGGAAAAGCCAGGGAGCCCAGUGCUGACCCUCAGAGGCCCUCCCACCACACUCCCACUGGACACCCACCCUCACUGGCCUGGAUAAUCCCUCCAGUUGUUGCUUCUGAUAAGUUGUGUCAAUAAAAAGGAAAGGAAAGAAAACUCGGCAAACAGCAAAAGUGUAAACACAGCCACUGCCUGAUGCCAAGAGCUGUUGCAUCUUCGACCUGCAGAGGAAAGAGAGGCACGGACAGCCCUGUAAUAGCUCUGAGAUUGCGUUAGUAACCUUAUGCAAGCAUUGAUCUGUGGCCACAGCUCUAGGAUUUGAAGUCCCCAAAGGCUCUAAAAUCCAAGUAUUGUUCUGUUUAUUCAGUUUUUUUUUAAUGGUGGUGAAAUAUACAAUAAAGCCAUUGCCUU